GCGUAUGAUAUGGUGCUCGUAGCACUAGA
rnacentral:piRNA from 1 species